ensembl:lncRNA
GGCUCCUUUCCCCAGCCUUCUCUUUCCUCAGAGGGUUUGUGCCAGUGACAGCUCCUGCAGAGGACACUUCCUAGGAACCCUGGGACGAUCUGGCUCUGUGGCUGCAACGGGCUUCCUUAUCUGGUGCCUGGAAUUCCAAGACUUUGUCUCUCAUCAUAUAUCCCCCCCUGGGUUUGUUUGAAUAUUUAGACAAACGCAGCCCUUCAGCUCUGAUAGUGGGUGUGUGGGAGCCUUUGUAUCUGUCAGGAAUGUCAUGCUCCUACCUCACAGCAAUUUAAAACCAGCAGAGAUCCCACCAGGAGCCAGGGACCGGGCAGAGCCAGAGAGCUUCUGUGUGGCCAAGAUACAAUGCUAGCCACCUCUAAAAUGCCACUGUACCCCACACACUGCAAGGCCCUUGAUGGCCUGUGAAAAGGCCCUUGUAUGUAGGUCAAAUCUCAAAUUCUCACGGUUCCCAGAUGGCUUAAAAAUGUCAACAAAGAAUCUUUCUACUUAUCAAAGAUUGUAUAUAUCCCCAUUUAAGCAGGAAGUCUGCAGAGGCCGGGGCCCAGCCUCCUGUUUAAUCUAAGAACCAGCCCUCAAGGGUUGCCUGCUGGCAAGUUAGCAACCUGUAAGUACGGGAGCCUCUUUGGAUAAAUCAAGGCUUCCGUGGAAAGAGCCUAAAUCCUAUAAAAGUAAUUUAUUUGCUUACCCAUCAAAUUAUAAUAUUCAUUUUGUUUUUGUAAACUCGCCAGUCCCCAGUUAUUAAUGCAAACCACAAGAAACUGUUUCAAGUAGGAUUUGGUCUCACAGUUUCCACCUUGAAUCUGACAUAGUCUACCUGGGAAGAUUGCAGGAAACCAUAAAUAAUUCCUAAUUCCUAAAGUGGGUCUAUGCAUAAUAAAGACUUUUUUUUGCUAUUAAAAAAAAAACCGCCAGGAGGCUGGGAACCAGGCAUCCAGGCCGGCGGGCUGCCUCAGACGACGCUGCCCUCUGUGCACGAGCAGGCGGCCGGGCAGCACGAAGGACCGUGCAGGGGGCGGGGGCGGGGGCAGGGGACCGGCCCGCGUUCUCCGGCCUCGGGCGGGCACCGGACAAGGCGCCUGAAGCCUCCCUCCUUAUCCCGAGCGGAAGGAGGGACGGCCACAGUGCGGCCCGAAAGCGGCGCCUGCACCGCCACCUCCGUCACCGGCCUGAUCCAGGGUCUGCGGCCCCCCGCCGCCUGGCAUGCCCCCGGCGACCCUGGUCCGCUGGCGUCCCCGCAGGAGGUUCCCCGCGGCGCGCGCACGGCGGGCGCUGCCUGGCCUUCGGAGGGGCGUCCCGAAAAGGGCCCUGGACGACGAGCAAGAGGAAACAAAGAGGCCCUCCUAGGUGUCCCUGGACUCCUUUCUGCACCUCACCCGGUCCAGCUGGGCUCCAGAUGAGAAAUAUUAACCAACACUCCGUCUGUCUACAAUCAUCGCCAGUGACGCUUUCAUUCAAGAUAUUCCGAGAGCAUGCAAGGUCUUCUUGGUUCCCAGCAAAGCACCUGAAAUGACCUCAUUCUGGAGAUGGAUGAGCAAAGCUCUCCACACAUCCCUCUUCUACAUGAAAAACAUGCUUUGGGGAGGUCUCCUUUCCCUGGUAUUUCUCUCCUGAAGGCAGUGAUCUUUGCCUCUUUUCAGUGGCCUUUCCUGUUCCAGAUUCUGUUAUGUUCCCUAGUGAGCCAGUAAAAUUUCCCUUUUUGGAACUGUUUCAAGUUGAGGAGGGUUUUUAUAACCAUGAUACUCCUGAUGACAAAUGGAUUCGCUUCUCAGCAUCUGCUUUUGACCUCGCUUCAAACGGACGGAGGGCCAGAGAACAUUUGAGAGCUAAAGGCCCAAUUCUAAAGAAUUGAGCCCACAUCUUGUCCCUUCCAGGGAUUAUUUCCCUGCUUCUGAAAUAUCUUUUCCAUGCCUCAUUAGGCUGUUUCGUACCUUGCUUUCAACUUUGUAUUCUCAACCAGAGCUGAAAAAGUGAAGUAGAGGCAACCCCAAAGACCUGUGGGAGUCAGGGAGUGCAGAGGAGGCCUGCAUCUUCUGCAGACUGUGAGUGUGGUCACUGCCCUCCACCAGGUCCCUUCCUGCCUCAGGUCAUCACAAGCCACUGCCCGUGGUCUGGGGGGAACGUUCCUGAGUGGUGAAAUGGCCAAUGAAGAUCUCAGAAAGGCUGGGAAGGAGGAGAAACAGAGUUCAUGGACAGAGAUACAGCCAGGUCCUAGGACCUAAGGCAGCAGCACCUUUAAAAGCACCACACCUUAGGUGCAGGGGACAAGGCCUGGGGUGGGGCCUAACCUGAGUGGUUCAUUAGUUGGGGGAACGAGUUGCACUAAAGGCUCCACUCCAAGCAUCAAGACAUUGAGGUCUUAACCUAAGGAUAAACUUACAGAUCCAUGGAAUAGAACUGAGAAUCCAGAAACAAACCCGUGGGUCUAUGCUCAAUUGAUUUUGGACAAGAUGCCAAGACAACUCAAUGUAGAAAGAUUGUCUUUUUAACAAAUGGUACUGAGACAAGUGGAUAGCCACAUGCAAAUGAACCUACGCUAUAGACAAAAAUUAACUCAAAAUGGAUCAAAGACCUAAAUGUAAGAGCUAAAAUUAUAAAGCUCUUAGAAAAAAAUAUAGGAGUAAAUCUUCAUGAUCUUCGAUUUGGCAAUGGAUUCUUAAACAGGACACCAAAAGCAUAAGCAAGAAAAUUAAAAAAUACAUAAAUUGGACUUCAUCAAAAUUAAAAACUUUUGUGCUUCAAAUAGCACCAUCAAAAAAGUGAAAAGACAACCCACAGAAUGGGAGAAAAUAUUUUAAAAUCAUAUAUCUGAUAAGGGACUUGUAUCCAGAAUAUAUAAAUUAAAUAUAUAUAUUAAAUUUAUAUAUUUAAUAUAUUGAUAUAUAUAAAUGAUAUAUAUUUAUAUAUUAAAUUAUUCAUUGUAAGAAUAAUAAAAAACCAAAUAACCCAGUAAAAAAAUGAGCAAAGGAUCUGAAUAGACAUUUGUUCAAGGAAGAUACACAAAUGGCCAAUAGCGCAUGAAAAUAUACUCGACAUCAUUGGUCAUCAAGAAAAUGCAAAUCAAAACAACAAUGAGAUACCACUUCACACUCACUAGGAUGGCUAUAAUAAAAAAAGUCAGAUAAUAGCAAGUGUUGGCAAGUGGAACAAUUGCAACCCUCAUACACUGCUGGUGGGAAUGUAAAAUGCUGCAGCCACUUUGAAAACAGUCUGACAGUUCUUCAAAGGGUUAAACAUAGAGUUACCGUAUGACCCAGCAAUUCUACACUUAGGUCCAUACCUAAGAGAAGUGAAAACAAGUGUUCAAACAAAAACUUGUGCACAAAUGUUCAUAGCAGCAAAAACAGCAACCAAAAGGUGGACACAACCCACAUGUUCAUCAGGGACAAAUGGAUAAACAAAAUGUGGUCUUUCCAACACAAUAGAAUGUUAUUCAGCAAUAAAAAGGAAUUGUAGGGGUUAUGAGAGACUUGGGGGGUGAAAAGGAAAAAGAGAUGACCAUGAGAGGCAGUAACACACAGCAAGCUUUCUCAGGUGGCACUUGGACAGGGUUGCACAUGAAGGAAGUUCCUCCCAGUGUGAGACACUGCAGAGGCUAUGGAAAGCAGGCCACCGUGCUGAAGGGGAGGUGGGCAAAGGCAAUCCUGGGGGAGGGGGACCAGGAAGGGGGCGUCUGUGUCCAGAGGAUGUCGCUGAGCAGCAUGGCAGGCAGGCUUUGGGUCAGGGAGCUCUGAAGGGCAGUAGCACCUUGGAGCCUUAAAACAGCAACACCAUCUGAUCAAGGGCCAGCAGAUUCUAGGUGUAGUGUCCCAGGGUAUGCAAAGCAGGCAGACCCUAAAUGGGUAAACGUCUGCUUGUCUGAGCUAUUCUUAAAACAAUUGGUUGUAUAAAAUUUUAAUUGUGGCACCAGCAGGCUUUUGAGCGAAGGGGUCUCAGCCUGCUGUGAAGAAAUAAAUAACCUAGAAGCCAAAACACAUCUUUGGCUCAUUUAUACAAUAGGAACGAAGUACUGAGACCUGCUACAGUGUGGAGGAACCUUGACAACAUCAUGCUAGGUGAAAGAAGCCAGUCACAGCAGACCACAUAUGAUAUGAUCCCAUAUGAAAUGUAUGGAGUAGGCAAAUCUACACAGACAGAAAGUGGAUUAGUGGUUGCAGUGGGUUACAUGGGGCAUCGGGGGUCAGGGGUGAUAUACAAAAGGUAUGAGGUUUCUUUUGGGAUGAUGAAAAUGUUCCAGAAUUGACUGUGGUGAUGGUUACAUAACUCUGUGAAUAUACUAAGAGCCAUUGAAUUAUGUACUUUAAAUGCAUGAAUUAUAUGUAUGUGAAUUAUUUCUCAAUAAAGUGCUCCAAAAAGAAAAAAAUUAAAACAUAAAAAAAGUAAAAGGUCCCACCCACAGGCUGCCCUCUCUACCACCAAUGUUUUAGUGUUACAUGAGCAGACAGGCCCUUUCAUGGCAACAUGUGACCACGACUAUUAAACAGGCCCCACUGUCAGUGAAGGCUGUUAGUCGCUAAGUCUGAAUUUUCCAAUGACGUGAACAUUAGUCUCAGGUUGAUGAGCAAUAGAGCACAUGUAUUCUUUUUUAAUUCAAACUUACAGAAAACUUAGAGAAAAUUUGCAGGAAUGUAUAAAGAACUGUCAUAGAACCUUCACCAGAUUCACCAAUUGUUAGCAUUUUGCCACAUUUGCUUUCUCCAUAGUUGAUAGAUAGACAGAUAGAUAGACAGAUAGAUAGAUAGAUGAUUGAUAGAUAGAUAGAUAGAUGAUAAAUAGGUAGAUAAUCCCCAGCAUUUCUUUCAGAACUAGUGUGAGAUAUCCUUUGCCCUUGAAUGGUGCUCUGUACCCUUACAUGCUGCAGCAUGCAUUUCCUCAGAACAAGAACAUUCUCUUAUAUAUCAUAAAAUUCAGGAGACGUAGUAUUGACGUAUUACUAUUAGUUAAUAUAGCAUCAGACUUUACCAAUUGUUCUGAUAACGUCCUCUGUGGCAUCCCCGACCCCACCCCCAUCCGUGACCCAGGAUUACACAUUGCAAUUGUGAGUCAUGUCUUUCAGUCCCCUUUGAUCUCAAACUGGUCUUCACUCUUUUUUGUCUUUCAUAAUAUCAAUUUUUCUGAAGAGCACAGGCGAGUUGUUCCACAGACGCCCUCAGUUUGGGUCUGUCUGAUGUGUCCUCGUGAAAAGACUUGGCUUUGCAUUUUUAGCAGGUGUUAAAUAAUGGCCCCCAAAGACCAAAGGUCUUAAUCCCUAGAACCUGUAAGUGUCGCCUUUAAUGGAGAAAGGGUCUCUGCAGGUGUGAUGAAGUUAGGGAUCUUGAGAUGGGGAGAUCAGAUCAUCCUGGAUUAUCCAGGUGGGCCCUAAGUGCAGCCGUGUAAAUCCUUAUGAGAGAAAGUCAGAGGGAGAGUUCACACCCACAGAAGAGCAGGAGGCCACAUGACCAGAGGCGGAGAUGGAGUGAUGUGGCCACAAGCCAAGGAGUGCUGGCGGCCCCCAAAAGCUGGAAGAGGCAAGGAACAGGUCCUCCCCUAGAGCCUCUGGAAGGAGCAGGGCCCGGGCCGACCUUAAGUUUGGCUCACUGACUGAUUUCAGACCUCUGGCCUCCAGAACAUGAGAGAAUAAAUUUCUGUAGCUUUAAGCUACCCAGUUUGUCGUAACUUUUUACAGCACCUGCAAGAAACUAAUACAGCAGGAAUAGCACAGAAAUGCUGUCGUGUCCCUGCUGCAUUGAAUCAGGAGGCACUGGAUGUCACUCUGUCCCAUUUGUCAUUUUGUUAAUAUUGAUCACUUAUAGUUAAGGUGAUGUCCUCCAGGUUUCUCCACUGUAAAGCUAGUAUUUUUUCCUUUGAAAUUAAUAAAUAACUUGUGAGGAGAUACUUUGAGACUAUAUAAAUAUCCUAUUUGCCAUCAGACUUUCCCCUACUAGUUUUAGCAUCUAAUGGUGAUUCUUGCCUGAAUUAAUUGUUACUCUGAUGAUUGCAAAUGGUGAUUUUCUAAAUGGAACUAAUUAUAAAUUUAUUAGUUGGCAUUAGACUGUAAGAAAGCACAUUCCCUUCCUUCUCCAGAUUUGUUUAUUUAUCUAUUCAUUUCUAUCAAUAUGGACUCAUAGAUUACUGUUUUAUUCAAAAGGUUAUAAUCUGUCCCAAUCACUGUUUAUUCUGAUAUUCAGAUUAUCCUAGAUUUGACCAGUGGGGGCCCUUUCGAGCAGACCUCUGUGUCCUUUUUUCUUCUCUUUUUUCUUUUCUCUCUCUCUGCUCCCACCCCUACCCCUGUGGUCCUUUUGACAUGUUUCCAUCGUUACUUCCUAGCACAAAAAUCUAUUUCAGACUCAUCUCAUACUUUCCCUAACCAGUCACGGAAUCUGCCAUUUCUUCAAGGAAGGCUGGCUCCACUCAGUAGGAAAAGGUAUUUAGAAACCAAGAUCUGGGCACCAGGUGACACACAUAUUCUCGAAAGGUUUCAUUUAGCACCAGCCUUUGCUGAUGGAUAGACUCUGAGCUGAGGGAAGGGGCUAGCAAGGUUCUCCAGGCAGCACUGCAACUGUGUGAGGAGCUGUGUUUCCAGGUAUGGUCCUGGGGGACCCCAAGCGGGGGGAGGCAGAGCAGGAAAGGUUCUCUUACAGGAUGAAUUGUGUCCCCUCCAAAUUCUUGGAAGUCCUAACCCCCAGGACUUCAGAAUAUGAACUUAUUCGGAGAUAGGUCUUUACAGAGGUAUUCGAGUUAACGUGAGGUCUUAGGGUAGGCCCGCAUUGAGCAUAACUGGUAUCCUUAUAAAAAGGGGAAAUUUGGACACAGAGAUGUGUCUGGAGGAAAGACCGUGUGAAGGGAGAAGACACCAACUACAAGCCAGAGAGAGGUCGACAGAAGAGCCUUCCCUCACAGCCCUGCUGAUGCUCGAUAUAGGAUGUUCGGCCUCCGGAACUGCGAGAUGACACAUGUCUGUUUGUGGGACUUUGUCGUGGCAGCCCUAGCAGGCUUCUUGUUCCCCCCCCCGCAUCCCUCAACCAAAAUGUUUCUACUUUGCUUUAACAUUUUGUUUGAAAAACAGUAUUUGUUGGUUUAAAAUAAAAGUUUGGAAAUUCGUCGUUCUCCUCCACACCUUUCCCAUUACACAGAUAAGAAUGCUGAUGUCCAGAGAAGUCAUUCCUUUGCAGUCUCAAAGCCCUUUCCGGUGACUCACAUUUUGCUUUCUUGGAGGUUGAAGAAGAAAAUGAAGGAAGGAAAGGAGGGGGGCUGGACCAGUGUCUUGUGAGGCUGCAGUAUGGCUACUGUAGAAGGACCAUGCCUGCG